UACGGGGGGGGGCAAGCGUUGUUCGGAAUUACUGGGCGUAAAGGGCGCGUAGGCGGCCUUCUAAGUCGGACGUGAAAUCCCUCGGCUCAACCGAGGAACUGCGUCCGAUACUGGUUGGCUUGAAUUCGGGAGAGGGAUGCGGAAUUCCAGGUGUAGCGGUGAAAUGCGUAGAUAUCGGGAGGAACACCAGUGGCGAAGGCGGCUUUCUGGGCCUUACCUGACGCGUGAGACGGCGAAAAGCGUGGGGAGCGAACCGGG
rnacentral:rRNA from 1 species